rnacentral:rRNA from 1 species
GACGAACGCUGGCGGCGUGCUUAACACAUGCAAGUCGAACGGUAAGGCCCUUCGGGGUACACGAGUGGCGAACGGGUGAGUAACACGUGGGUGAUCUGCCCUGCACUUCGGGAUAAGCCUGGGAAACUGGGUCUAAUACCGGAUAGGACCCUGGGAUGCAUGUCCUGGGGGGGAAAGCUUUUGCGGGGUGGGAUGGGCCCGCGGCCUAUCAGCUUGUUGGUGGGGUGAUGGCCUACCAAGGCGACGACGGGUAGCCGGCCUGAGAGGGUGACCGGCCACACUGGGACUGAAAUACGGCCCAGACUCCUACGGGAGGCAGCAGUGGGGAAUAUUGCACGAUGGGCGCAAGCCUGAUGCAGCGACGCCGCGUGAGGGAUGACGGCCUUCGGGUUGUAAACCUCUUUCAGCACCGACGAAGCGCAAGUGACGGUAGGUGCAGAAGAAGGACCGGCCAACUACGUGCCAGCAGCCGCCGUAA